GUCGGCAUUGGUUAUGAGCGCUGAAAGUUUCGCCGCUCGCAAAUGCCUCAUCGCUUUAGACUUUUGACCACGGAUGUACUGGCACUGGUUGGUAAGCGAUGAUGAGGAAGGUCGGUGCGGUUUCGCCCCGGCCUUUUUUGUU
rnacentral:sRNA from 1 species